CACACCAAGGAUGUUUUCCUGGGACUGCCUGGUGCUUGUUCUCCCUGGCAUUAUCUUCAGGUGAAACAAAUAGAGAAGAAAGACUUGGUUCUAACAUCCAAAAAUCAGACUGAAAGACUGACCAGUCCUAGUUCCUCUUACUUCAAUUUGAACCCAUUUGAGUUAUCCAUCUUGGUGCAUGCUGACAAAAAUCAAGAUGAUGCUGACAGAGCACAAAAGGCUUUUGAAGCUGUGGACAAAGCUUACAAGUUGCUACCGGAUCAGGAGCAAAAGAAGAGGGCCCUGGAUGUAAUUCAGGCAGGAAAAGAAUACAUGGAACACACUGUGAAAGAGCGAGAAAAACAAUUAAAGAAGGAAGGAAAACCUACGAUUGUAGAGGAGGGUGAUCCUGAGCUGUUCAAACAAGCUGUAUAUAAACAGACAAUGAAACUCUUUGCUCAGCUGGAAAUUAAAAGGAAAGAGAGAGAAGCCAAAGAGAUGCAUGAAAGGAAACGACAAAGGGAAGAAGAGAUUGAAGCUCAAGAAAAAGUCAAACGAGAAAGAGAGUGGCAGAAAAACUUUGAGGAAAGUCGAGAUGGUGGUGUGGACAGCUGGCGAAACUUCCAAGCCAAUACAAAGGGGAAGAAAGAGAAGAAAAAUCGGACCUUCCUGAGACCACCGAAAGUAAAAAUGGAGCAGCGUGAGUGAGUACCCGGGGUCCCAGGCACAGAACCUUCCCCCUGCUAUCUCCCUUCCUGCUUUGAAGGACUCAUUCUUUCUUCCCCUGCCACCUCUACAUAGAGUAGUAUUUGCUUUUUAGUCCAUUUCGUUUUCAAUACAAUUUAAUAUCGAUUGGAGUAAUUCUUUUGUACAUUGAAAUGAGGGGAUUGUUUUAAAAGAAGACCUUCCCCUCUCCCUGCCCCUAGAACAACCAGGAUUGGAAGGUGCCACCAUUGGUGCUGCCUUCUCUUCCCACAGCCUGUAACUCAACGUUUUGUACUUCACUGAAUUGUGCUGGUUAGAAACUUCGUGAAUAGUUUGUGGAAAUCAUCCAAUUAAACAUAUUGCUUAAAAUGGUGUUGCUGUGACUUCAGAGACAGGCCUGGAAGGGGCAUUUUGGAAGCCCCUUGGCUUCAGUUGCUCGCUUCUGGGUGUGCUCCCUUCGAAGGCCCAGAUAAGACAGGGAACACCUGUGGGGACACAGAGCAGGCACCUGAUGCCCUGAUGCUCUGUGGUGUUCGGCAUGUGCCUCCGUCUACUGACCAAUCAGCAUGGCAUGAGGCCCCUGCCACCCAAACCUUUCACUUUCCAAAGAGCUAGCCAUCUUCCACCCAGUACCACGGUGUCCUAGCCUGUCUGUAUUUGUUAGUGGUAAUAUUCUUUACGUAUAAUAAAUUUUUAUAACCACCCCCCCAAAAAAGUGGUAACUAUUAUCAUAGAGAAGCUUUACUUUUUGUUGUUUUUAAAUAAUUUCAGCUUUUAUUUUAGAUUCAGGGAGUGCAUGUGCAGGUUUGUUACAUGCAUACAUUGCUUGAUGUUGAGGUGUGGAGUACAAAUGAUCUUGUCACCCUGGAUAGUGAGUAUAGUAGCCAGUAGGUAGUUUUUCAAUUCUUGCCCCAUUCCCUCCUGCUGGUCUAGUAGUCCACAUAUCUAUUGUUUCCAUCUUCGUUUCCAUGAGUUCCUAAUGUUUA